rnacentral:lncRNA from 1 species
CCCUUCUCCCUUCUCUCUCCCACGCCCUCGACUCUCACGACCAAUUUCUCCACAGGCAAGAACGUGGGCCAAGUCCCUUCAGAAACAGAGAGAAGAAAAGUGACUUGAAAAGUUCUCGGGGCAGAUUUGUUUUUCUCCCUCUUUUUUCAGUCAGCUUGUCAGACUCCUACCUGUUCUUUGAAAGUUCGAACAUGAGCUGGGUCAGCAGGGGAGCUGAGCACUCUGCAGAACUCCGUGUUCCACUCAGGCAGAACUUUCCUUUCUCCCGAGGGUGACUGCAUCCUCUGCUCCCUCCCGGCUUUGAGCCCUCCCUCCCUGAAUAGCAAGGCGUCUUCACCUGCUUGAAAGACACUCAGGAUCUGCCUGAAGAGGCCGAAGUCAGGCUCAGUGGCUCUCCCACUCACCGCAGCCCUGCAGCCCAAUGAGCGAGUGCCCACAGGCCCCCAGCACCCUGGACCGGUGACUUAUCCAUCAGCGGGCAGAACAGUGUGGUCGGCAAGGACAGAGGGUGCCACGGCCCCAGCCCCACCGCACAUUUCCUGGUGGCUGUGGCCUCCUUACUCUGGCCUCUUCACUUCCCCUUGACAGGGGUUAGGGAGGGGGAGAGGGCAGAGGCCAUGAAGGAUGCUUCUGCUUCUGCAAGGGGCUGACCGGGACCCUGCUCAGAGCGACACCUUACAGCUGCUUGAAGGGCAAUGCUCCCUGUCGGUUAUGGAGUCAAACAAUACAUUCACAUCUGUCCUUGAUCUGGCGAGUCAAGAGCGUAAACACCCAGCAACACAAAGGCGUCCUUCCGCGCACCUUCCAGAGGGGCGGUUUCCACCGCCCGUGAGGGUGAGCCAGAGCUGCUUUACAUAUGUUUUUGAUGCCGAAACUGUAACAUUUGACUUCUUUCUCCUGCUCCGAAGUGUUAACCAAAUAAAUAAGAAUUAGAUGAUGUUUGCGUAAACCUAG